GUAUUCCAUUCCAUUACAUCAAUCUUCAGUUUUUCGAUUUUGGAAAAAGAAUUUUGAAGCCAGAAUAAAGAAUAAUUUACAGCAUUUACAAUAUUUUAAAUGAUAUUUUAGGCUUUUUUCCGGACUUAUUUCUCCCUCGUUCACCUUGAGGGGGUCAUGGCAAUUUUCAUCCGGUCAUUUUCCGACCCGACUUCACCGUCCUCAUCGUUUGCCUACAAAACCUCCAAUAUCAAGCUUUUCGAGUAGCGAUGUUCACGAAACACGAGAUAAAAUCUCAGUUCGUGUUACUGGCAGAUGCUCUUGAAGCGUCGGCAGAUAUGAAUAUUAUAUGCUUGUUUUCAUGGUUCUCAAAACUGUGAGAGUUUCAAAUAUGCGAUGUUACCUACUUUUUUUUUUUUUUGCCUAAUUAUGAUUUUGUGAUUACAAAAAAGCAACACAGAGAAAAACCUUAUAUUACAAAAACUGAAAGAAGAAAGCUUUUGUUGAUGAUAUAUGUAUAUUGGUGAUCUCAUUGAAUCGUCGUUACAAAUUUUAGUGGAAGCUUCUAAAAUCGUGCAUAUAUAGUUUGUGUCUUAACUUUAGCCCCAAACAUGAUUGAGGUGUCUGAAGUUAGAUUGUUGGGUUAGGCUCGCGUUAUGAGUUGAAACCCUGCUGCACACAAACAAGGUAUUUAAGUGGAGAAAGGCUCCAUAUCCACUGAGUUUCAAAUCACGAGCCACUGAACCUCUAGGCCAUCAAGAAAAGGAUACAAAAACAUCACCAUUAAAAAGUUGAAUCCUGUUUAGAUCCUCUUUGACUUGCAUUCCAUUACUAUUGAGGUUCUUUCAACUUCCCAAAAAAGAGGUAUUGGUUCUUCGUUGUGUUGUUUCUGUAAGGAAGCCUCUCUCUCCAUUUGAUGCUUUGCCCGAGAUAUGUUUUUACCACCACUGGUGCAAUAAAUUGUUCAUCUCCGACUUUGCAGGGGUUGCUCGUUAAAAUUCUAGUUAUCAAAUCUCACCAUUUUUGGCUGGAUGCAGAGCACCUUCAGGAAACCAUUCAGAAUGUUUUAAUUUGUGUGGAGAUGGUUUUCUUUUCUGUUCUGCUGCAAUAUGCAUACCACGUGGUUCCUUACAGCUAUGUCGAAGCAAAUUUAAACUGAAAAAGGAUGACUAAGUUGAUGCGGCGUGAAUAGGCAAUUUUCCCGUGAUCUUGCAGUAACGGUGUGUAAUACAAGUUUUUGGAUCUGUUGAUACGGAUUAGAGAGGUCUUGAGAUAAGUAAUUUUUAGCAAAGAAGAUUGAAAUUUCUAUCCUUUUCUCUUGCAACCAAUUUUUACUCUUUUUUGUUUGGACUUAUUGUAGUUCUUUUUCUUUUAUCUAUUGGCACAAUCGUUUGGGCAGUAUCUAGUCCAUUUUCUCAUAGGCUUGGAUAUGAACAUUCUUUGAUAGGAUAGUUAUUUUGAUAUUCCCUUUAAAUUGGUUAAAUUAGUGUUCAAUUUGAUUGAAACGAUGAAAUUGUUUUUUUAAAAAAAAAAGAAAAAAGAAAAGGCAUCUUCUACGAAAUGGGUAAAUAAAUACGUGAUGACUUCAUUGCCGAUGAAAAUCGUUGCAGCAUUAAUGCUAUAAAUAUCUCUUCUCCAUCUUUUAUAAUUAAUUCACACCCACUUUAAAAUAAAAUUAAAAAGGCAUCUAACUAUACAGAAAAAAAAUGAUGGAGAAGAAGAAGAAAAUGAAUGCAGUGGGAACCAUGGCUAUUGUGCUGAUGAUCCUUCUAUCUUCCAACACAGACACUGUCGGCGUCGCUGCUCAAGACGUCGAUUGCUAGGACUCUUGUAACACCGCCUGUGUUGGUCACUCAUGGAGAGAGUACCAACGUUGCGACGAAAAAUGUCAGAUUAGAUGCGGACCAGAUGGCAAAAUUGAUACAAACCUGGGUUAAAAGUGCUGAAAAUUAUUGAGGCUAUUAUAUAUUGUAGCGGAAAUCCACAAUAAUAAUAAUAAUUGUUAUCUUUGAUAAUAAUUUCCUCGUAGUUGGGAAAAUAAAUUGUAACCUUUAAUUACUAUUAUGGUUUCUUCUACUUCUUUUUUCUUUAAUGGUAAUGGAUGCAUUUUAUAAUAAUGCAAAAUUAUAUUUGUCAAUUUAUAGAUCAAAGUAUAUACAGAGACGUUUUAGAAUUUUUGAUACCUCA